UAGAGCACCCAUGGAUUGGAGAAUAUGGAGGCAAGCCAAAGAGCAGUUCAGUCAGUUACAGAGUGAAGCGAUUGGCACUCCAUGCAAUGAAUAAACUGAAGAAGCUUGCACUCAAGGUUCGUAUCAAGAGAAAAACUCAAAACAGCAACAAAACAUUGCGGCUUGGCGGACGACGACCUAAUAAGCAGGGAAAUCAUAUAAAAAAAAAAAGACAGAUAACGGUGUGAUAGAAUCAAGUAAGCAUGUAUGAAGAGAAUUCAGUGAGCCAUAUUGAUCUCUUCCCUUGUCUUUGUUUCUUCAAGGGUCGCUCCCAGUAUAGGGAUAUAUCAUAAUACCUCAAAUAAAAAGCUGAAUUUCAACCAUAAGUCGAAGUCUGUUUGUUUUAUAUGGUUGUUUGGGUUACAGUAAGGAAAUGGCAAAAUUGGCUCGGAGAUCACUUCCAACAAGACAUUUUUCAAG